rnacentral:rRNA from 1 species
UAAGGAGCUUGCUCCUUUGACGUUAGCGGCGGACGGGUGAGUAACACGUGGGUAACCUACCUAUAAGACUGGGACAACUUCGGGAAACCGGAGCUAAUACCGGAUAAUAUGUUGAACCGCAUGGUUCAAUAGUGAAAGAUGGUUUUGCUAUCACUUAUAGAUGGACCCGCGCCGUAUUAGCUAGUUGGUGAGGUAACGGCUCACCAAGGCAACGAUACGUAGCCGACCUGAGAGGGUGAUCGGCCACACUGGAACUGAGACACGGUCCAGACUCCUACGGGAGGCAGCAGUAGGGAAUCUUCCGCAAUGGGCGAAAGCCUGACGGAGCAACGCCGCGUGAGUGAUGAAGGUCUUAGGAUCGUAAAACUCUGUUAUUAGGGAAGAACAAACGUGUAAGUAACUGUGCACGUCUUGACGGUACCUAAUCAGAAAGCCACGGCUAACUACGUGCCAGCAGCCGCGGUAAUACGUAGGUGGCAAGCGUUAUCCGGAAUUAUUGGGCGUAAAGCGCGCGUAGGCGGUUUUUUAAGUCUGAUGUGAAAGCCCACGGCUCAACCGUGGAGGGUCAUUGGAAACUGGAAAACUUGAGUGCAGAAGAGGAAAGUGGAAUUCCAUGUGUAGCGGUGAAAUGCGCAGAGAUAUGGAGGAACACCAGUGGCGAAGGCGACUUUCUGGUCUGUAACUGACGCUGAUGUGCGAAAGCGUGGGGAUCAAACAGGAUUAGAUACCCUGGUAGUCCACGCCGUAAACGAUGAGUGCUAAGUGUUAGGGGGUUUCCGCCCCUUAGUGCUGCAGCUAACGCAUUAAGCACUCCGCCUGGGGAGUACGACCGCAAGGUUG